rnacentral:rRNA from 1 species
GGGGAUGGCCCCGCGGUGCAUUAGCUAGUUGGUCAAGGUAAAGGGCUUACCAAGGCGAUGAUGCAUAGCCCGAGUUGAGAGACUGAUCGGGCCACAUUGGGACUGAGACACGGGCCCAAACUCCUACGGGAGGCAGCAGUAGGGAAUCUUCCACAAUGGACGCAAGUCUGAUGGAGCAAACGCCGCGUGAGUGAAGAAGGUUUCGGAUCGUAAAAGCUCUGUUGUUGGUGAAGAAGGAUAGAGGUAGUAACUGGUCCCUUUAUUUGACGGUAAUCAACCAGAAAGUCACGGGCUAACUACGUGCCAGCAGCCGCGGUAAAU